rnacentral:rRNA from 1 species
AGAAUGGGAGCUUGCUCCUGAUGUUAGCCGGCGGACCGGGUGGAGGUAACACGUGGGUAACCUGCCUGUAAGACUGGGAAUAACUCCGGGAAACCGGGGCUAAUAACCGGAUGCUUGAAUUGAACCGGCAUGGUUCAAUUAUUAAAAGGUGGGCUUUCAGCUAUCACUUACAGAUGGACCGCGGCGCAUAGCUAGUUGGUGAGGUAACGGCUCACAAGGGCGACGAUGCGUAGCCGACUGAGAGGGUGAUCGGCCACACUGGGACUGAGACACGGCCCAGACUCAUACGGGAGGCAGCAGUAGGGAAUCUUCCGCAAUGGACGAAAGUCUGACGGAGCAACGCCGCGUGAGUGAUGAAGGUUUUCGGAUCGUAAAACUCUGUUGUUAGGGAAGAACAAGUACCGUUCGAAUAGGGCGGUACCUUGACGGUACCUAACCAGAAAGCCACGGCUAACUACGUGCCAGCAGCCGCGGUAAUACGUAGGUGGCAAGCGUUGUCCGGAAUUAUUGGGCGUAAAGCGCGCGCAGGCGGUUUCUUAAGUCUGAUGUGAAAGCCCCCGGCUCAACCGGGGAGGGUCAUUGGAAACUGGGGAACUUGAGUGCAGAAGAGGAGAGUGGAAUUCCACGUGUAGCGGUGAAAUGCGUAGAGAUGUGGAGGAACACCAGUGGCGAAGGCGACUCUCUGGUCUGUAACUGACGCUGAGGCGCGAAAGCGUGGGGAGCGAACAGGAUUAGAUACCCUGGUAGUCCACGCCGUAAACGAUGAGUGCUAAGUGUUAGAGGGUUUCCGCCCUUUAGUGCUGCAGCAAACGCAUUAAGCACUCCGCCUGGGGAGUACGGUCGCAAGACUGAAACUCAAAGGAAUUGACGGGGGCCCGCACAAGCGGUGGAGCAUGUGGUUUAAUUCGAAGCAACGCGAAGAACCUUACCAGGUCUUGACAUCCUCUGACAACCCUAGAGAUAGGGCUUCCCCUUCGGGGGCAGAGUGACAGGUGGUGCAUGGUUGUCGUCAGCUCGUGUCGUGAGAUGUUGGGUUAAGUCCCGCAACGAGCGCAACCCUUGAUCUUAGUUGCCAGCAUUCAGUUGGGCACUCUAAGGUGACUGCCGGUGACAAACCGGAGGAAGGUGGGGAUGACGUCAAAUCAUCAUGCCCCUUAUGACCUGGGCUACACACGUGCUACAAUGGGGCAGAACAAAGGGCAGCGAAGCCGCGAGGCUAAGCCAAUCCCACAAAUCUGUUCUCAGUUCGGAUCGCAGUCUGCAACUCGACUGCGUGAAGCUGGAAUCGCUAGUAAUCGCGGAUCAGCAUGCCGCGGUGAAUACGUUCCCGGGCCUUGUACACACCGCCCGUCACACCACGAGAGUUUGUAACACCCGAAGUCGGUGAGGUAACCCUUUUGGAGCCAGCCGCCGAGUGGGACAGAUGAUUGGGGUGAAGUCGUAACAGUAGCUGUCUAGUUUUUUUUCUCUCCGGGAACAGCUCUCCAUUCUUUUCCCCUUGAC